UACGGAGGGGGCUAGCGUUGCUCGGAAUUACUGGGCGUAAAGGGAGCGUAGGCGGACAUUUAAGUCAGAGGUGAAAUCCCGGAGCUUAACUUCGGAACUGCCUUUGAUACUGGGUGUCUUGAGUGUGAGAGAGGUAUGUGGAACUCCGAGUGUAGAGGUGAAAUUCGUAGAUAUUCGGAAGAACACCAGUGGCGAAGGCGACAUACUGGCUCAUUACUGACGCUGAGGCUCGAAAGCGUGGGGAGCAAACAGG
rnacentral:rRNA from 1 species